rnacentral:rRNA from 1 species
UACGUAGGGUGCGAGCGUUGUUCGGAAUCACUGGGCAUAAAGCGCACGUAGGCGGCGGCGUAAGUUGGAUGUGAAAUCCCCCGGCCCAACCGGGGAACUGCGUCCAGUACUGCGUUGCUUGAGGAUCCAAGGGGCGCAUGGAAUUCCCGGUGGAGCGGUGAAAUGCGUUGAUAUCGGGAGGAACUCCGGCGGCGAAAGCGGUGCACUGGUGGAUUACUGACGCUGAGGUGCGAAAGCCAGGGGAGCAAACGGG